rnacentral:rRNA from 1 species
AGCGUACACGGUGGAUGCCCUGGCAGUCAGAGGCGAUGAAGGACGUGCUAAUCUGCGAAAAGCGUCGGUAAGGUGAUAUGAACCGUUAUAACCGGCGAUGUCCGAAUGGGGAAACCCAGUGCAAUUCGUUGCACUAUCGUUAACUGAAUACAUAGGUUAACGAGGCGAACCGGGGGAACUGAAACAUCUAAGUACCCCGAGGAAAAGAAAUCAACCGAGAUUCCCCCAGUAGCGGCGAGCGAACGGGGAGCAGCCCAGAGUCUGAAUCAGCUUGUGUGUUAGUGGAACGGUCUGGAAAGUCCGACGGUACAGGGUGAUAGUCCCGUACACCAAAAUGCACAGGCUGUGAACUCGAAGAGUAGGGCGGGACACGUGGUAUCCUGUCUGAAUAUGGGGGGACCAUCCUCCAAGGCUAAAUACUCCUGACUGACCGAUAGUGAACCAGUACCGUGAGGGAAAGGCGAAAAGAACCCCGGCGAGGGGAGUGAAAAAGAACCUGAAACCGUGUACGUACAAGCAGUGGGAGCACCUUCGGGUGUGACUGCGUACCUUUUGUAUAAUGGGUCAGCGACUUAUAUUCUGUAGCAAGGUUAACCGUAUAGGGGAGCCGCAGGGAAACCGAGUCUUAACUGGGCGUUAAGUUGCAGGGUAUAGACCCGAAACCCGGUGAUCUAGCCAUGGGCAGGUUGAAGGUUGGGUAACACUAACUGGAGGACCGAACCGACUAAUGUUGAAAAAUUAGCGGAUGACUUGUGGCUGGGGGUGAAAGGCCAAUCAAACCGGGAGAUAGCUGGUUCUCCCCGAAAGCUAUUUAGGUAGCGCCUCGUGAAUUCAUCUUCGGGGGUAGAGCACUGUUUCGGCUAGGGGGUCAUCCCGACUUACCAACCCGAUGCAAACUACGAAUACCGAAGAAUGUUAUCACGGGAGACACACGGCGGGUGCUAACGUCCGUCGUGAAGAGGGAAACAACCCAGACCGCCAGCUAAGGUCCCAAAGUCAUGGUUAAGUGGGAAACGAUGUGGGAAGGCACAGACAGCCAGGAUGUUGGCUUAGAAGCAGCCAUCAUUUAAAGAAAGCGUAAUAGCUCACUGGUCGAGUCGGCCUGCGCGGAAGAUGUAACGGGGCUAAACCAUGCACCGAAGCUGCGGCAGCGACACUAUGUGUUGUUGGGUAGGGGAGCGUUCUGUAAGCCUGCGAAGGUGUGCUGUGAGGCAUGCUGGAGGUAUCAGAAGUGCGAAUGCUGACAUAAGUAACGAUAAAGCGGGUGAAAAGCCCGCUCGCCGGAAGACCAAGGGUUCCUGUCCAACGUUAAUCGGGGCAGGGUGAGUCGACCCCUAAGGCGAGGCCGAAAGGCGUAGUCGAUGGGAAACAGGUUAAUAUUCCUGUACUUGGUGUUACUGCGAAGGGGGGACGGAGAAGGCUAUGUUAGCCGGGCGACGGUUGUCCCGGUUUAAGCAUGUAGGCUGGUUGUCCAGGCAAAUCCGGAUAAUCAAGGCUGAGGUGUGAUGACGAGGCACUACGGUGCUGAAGUAACAAAUGCCCUGCUUCCAGGAAAAGCCUCUAAGCAUCAGGUAACAUUAAAUCGUACCCCAAACCGACACAGGUGGUCAGGUAGAGAAUACCAAGGCGCUUGAGAGAACUCGGGUGAAGGAACUAGGCAAAAUGGUGCCGUAACUUCGGGAGAAGGCACGCUGGUGUGUAGGUGAAGUCCCUGCGGAUGGAGCUGAGACCAGUCGAAGAUACCAGCUGGCUGCAACUGUUUAUUAAAAACACAGCACUGUGCAAACACGAAAGUGGACGUAUACGGUGUGACGCCUGCCCGGUGCCGGAAGGUUAAUUGAUGGGGUUAUCCGUAAGGAGAAGCUCUUGAUCGAAGCCCCGGUAAACGGCGGCCGUAACUAUAACGGUCCUAAGGUAGCGAAAUUCCUUGUCGGGUAAGUUCCGACCUGCACGAAUGGCGUAAUGAUGGCCAGGCUGUCUCCACCCGAGACUCAGUGAAAUUGAACUCGCUGUGAAGAUGCAGUGUACCCGCGGCAAGACGGAAAGACCCCGUGAACCUUUACUAUAGCUUGACACUGAACAUUGAGCCUUGAUGUGUAGGAUAGGUGGGAGGCUUUGAAGCGUGGACGCCAGUCUGCGUGGAGCCAACCUUGAAAUACCACCCUUUAAUGUUUGAUGUUCUAACGUUGGCCCCUUACCGGGGUUGCGGACAGUGUCUGGUGGGUAGUUUGACUGGGGCGGUCUCCUCCCAAAGCGUAACGGAGGAGCACGAAGGUUAGCUAAUCCUGGUCGGACAUCAGGAGGUUAGUGCAAUGGCAUAAGCUAGCUUGACUGCGAGCGUGACGGCGCGAGCAGGUGCGAAAGCAGGUCAUAGUGAUCCGGUGGUUCUGAAUGGAAGGGCCAUCGCUCAACGGAUAAAAGGUACUCCGGGGAUAACAGGCUGAUACCGCCCAAGAGUUCAUAUCGACGGCGGUGUUUGGCACCUCGAUGUCGGCUCAUCACAUCCUGGGGCUGAAGUAGGUCCCAAGGGUAUGGCUGUUCGCCAUUUAAAGUGGUACGCGAGCUGGGUUUAGAACGUCGUGAGACAGUUCGGUCCCUAUCUGCCGUGGGCGCUGGAGAAUUGAGGGGGGCUGCUCCUAGUACGAGAGGACCGGAGUGGACGCAUCACUGGUGUUCGGGUUGUCAUGCCAAUGGCACUGCCCGGUAGCUAAAUGCGGAAGAGAUAAGUGCUGAAAGCAUCUAAGCACGAAACUUGCCCCGAGAUGAGUUCU